rnacentral:rRNA from 1 species
CCUACGGGAGGCAGCAGUGGGGAAUAUUGGACAAUGGGGGCAACCCUGAUCCAGCAAUGCCGCGUGUGUGAUGAAGGCCUUAGGGUUGUAAAGCACUUUCACUGGUGAAGAUGAUGACGGUAACCAGAGAAGAAGCCCCGGCUAACUUCGUGCCAGCAGCCGCGGUAAUAGGAAGGGGGCGAGCGUUGUUCGGAAUUACUGGGCGUAAAGGGAGCGCAGGCGGUUCAUUAAGUUAGGCGUGAAAGCCCCGGGCUCAACCUGGGAACUGCGCUUAAUACUGAUGAACUAGAAAACAGGAGAGGGUAGUGGAAUUUCCAGUGUAGAGGUGAAAUUCGUAGAUAUUGGAAAGAACACCGGUGGCGAAAGCGGCUACCUGGCCUGAUCUUGACGCUGAGGCUCGAAAGCGUGGGGAGCAAACAGGAUUAGAUACCCUGGUAGUCCACGCCGUAAACGAUGACAGCUAGAUGUCGGGGGGUCGCCCCUCGGUGUCGCCGCUAACGCAUUAAGCUGUCCGCCUGGGAAGUACGGUCGCAAGAUUAAAACUCAAAGGAAUUGACGGA